rnacentral:rRNA from 1 species
CCUACGGGAGGCAGCAGUGGGGAAUAUUGGGCAAUGGAGGCAACUCUGACCCAGCAACGCCGCGUGAGCGAUGAAGGUCUUCGGAUUGUAAAGCUCUUUAAGCGGGGACGAAGAAAGUGACUGUACACGCAGAAUAAGCCUCGGCUAACUACGUGCCAGCAGCCGCGGUAAUACGUAGGAGGCAAGCGUUAUCCGGAAUGACUGGGCGUAAAGGGUGCGGAGGUGGUUUGGCAAGUUGGUAGCGUAAUCCCGGGGCUCAACCUCGGUGCUACUACCAAAACUGUUGAACUUGAGUGCAGGAGGGGUGAAUGGAAUUCCCGGUGUAGCGGUGGAAUGCGUAGAUAUUGGGAAGAACUCCGAUUGCGAAGGCAGCAUACCGGCGCUCAACUGACGCUGAGGCACGAAAGCGUGGGGAUCGAACAGGAUUAGAUACCCGAGUAGUC